CGUAGGGGCAAGCGUUGUCCGGAUUUAUUGGGGCGUAAAGAGCUCGUAGGCGGCUUGGUAAGUCAGGUGUGAAACCUCCAGGCUCAACCUGGAGACGCCACUUGAUACUGCCAUAGCUAGAGUCCGGUAGGGGAGCGUGGAAUUUCUGGUGUAGCGGUGAAAUGCGCAGAUAUCAGAAGGAACACCAGCGGCGAAGGCGGCGCUCUGGGCCGGAACUGACGCUGAGGAGCGAAAGCGUGGGUAGCAAACAGGAUU
rnacentral:rRNA from 1 species